UACGAAGGGGGCUAGCGUUGUUCGGAAUUACUGGGCGUAAAGCGCACGUAGGCGGAUUGGUCAGUUAGGGGUGAAAUCCCAGGGCUCAACCCUGGAACUGCCUUUAAUACUGCCAAUCUAGAGUUCGAGAGAGGUGAGUGGAAUUCCGAGUGUAGAGGUGAAAUUCGUAGAUAUUCGGAGGAACUCCAGAGGCUAAGGCGACCCCCGGGAUCGACACUGACGCUGAGGUGCGAAAGCGUGGGGAGCAAACAGG
rnacentral:rRNA from 1 species